GGAAGUAAAAUCGUAACAAGGUCUCCGUAGGUGAACCUGCGGAGGGAUCAUUGCAGAGUUCGUGCCCUCACGGGUAGAUCUCCCACCCUGUGUUAUUAUACCUUUGUUGCUUUGGCGGGCCGCCCUCGGCUACCGGCCCCGGCUGGUACGCGCCCGCCAGAGGACCCCAAACUCUGAAUGUUAGUGUCGUCUGAGUACUAUACAAUAGUUAAAACUUUCAACAACGGAUCUCUUGGUUCUG
rnacentral:misc_RNA from 1 species